GGAGCUAUAGCUCAAUGGUAGAGCACUUGCUUGGCAUGCAGUAGGUCCUGACUUCA
rnacentral:tRNA from 1 species